rfam:Asian citrus Psyllid, Diaphorina citri - Florida Strain, whole genome shotgun sequence.
GCCUCGGUGGCGUAGUGGUCAAGCCGCUCGCCUGGUACACAGGAGGGCGUGGGUUCGAUCCCAGCCGAGGCA